UCUUACGGGGGGCAGCAGUGGGGAAUAUUGCACAAUGGGGGAAACCCUGAUGCAGCGACGCCGCGUGAAGGAAGAAGUAUUUCGGUAUGUAAACUUCUAUCAGCAGGGAAGAAAAUGACGGUACCUGACUAAGAAGCCCCGGCUAACUACGUGCCAGCAGCCGCGGUAAUACGUAGGGGGCAAGCGUUAUCCGGAUUUACUGGGUGUAAAGGGAGCGUAGGCGGUGCAGCAAGUCUGAUGUGAAAGCCCGCGGCCCAACCGCGGGACUGCAUUGGGAACUACCGGGCUGGAGUGCCGGAGGGGUG
rnacentral:rRNA from 1 species